rnacentral:rRNA from 1 species
GACAGAGGGUGCAAACGUUGUUCGGAAUUACUGGGCGUAAAGCGUGUGUAGGCGGCCAUAUAAGUCGGAUGUGAAAGCCCUGGGCUCAACCCAGGAAGUGCACUCGAUACUGUGUGGCUUGAGUACUGGAGAGGUUGGUGGAAUUCUCGGUGUAGAGGUGAAAUUCGUAGAUAUCGAGAGGAACACCGGUGGCGAAGGCGGCCAACUGGACAGAUACUGACGCUGAGACACGAAAGCGUGGGGAGCAAACAGG